UUAAGUUCAGCGGGUAGCCCUACCUGAUUUGAGGUCAAUGUCAAAAUGAAUAUGGGGUGUUGUGAGCAGGCCCAAGUGACCGGCCUGGACGAAACUUAUUACGUCGGGCGUAGGUCACAGGAUCCCACUGAGUCAUUUGAGGCGAGCCUGGGGAGGCAGACGCCCAAGUCCAAUUCCACCGGGGGUUCAAGAAACCCUCG
rnacentral:misc_RNA from 1 species